rnacentral:rRNA from 1 species
GACGAACGCUGGCGGCGUGCCUAAUACAUGCAAGUCGAACGAACUCUGGUAUUGAUUGGUGCUUGCAUCAUGAUUUACAUUUGAGUGAGUGGCGAACUGGUGAGUAACACGUGGGAAACCUGCCCAGAAGCGGGGGAUAACACCUGGAAACAGAUGCUAAUACCGCAUAACAACUUGGACCGCAUGGUCCGAGCUUGAAAGAUGGCUUCGGCUAUCACUUUUGGAUGGUCCCGCGGCGUAUUAGCUAGAUGGUGGGGUAACGGCUCACCAUGGCAAUGAUACGUAGCCGACCUGAGAGGGUAAUCGGCCACAUUGGGACUGAGACACGGCCCAAACUCCUACGGGAGGCAGCAGUAGGGAAUCUUCCACAAUGGACGAAAGUCUGAUGGAGCAACGCCGCGUGAGUGAAGAAGGGUUUCGGCUCGUAAAACUCUGUUGUUAAAGAAGAACAUAUCUGAGAGUAACUGUUCAGGUAUUGACGGUAUUUAACCAGAAAGCCACGGCUAACUACGUGCCAGCAGCCGCGGUAAUACGUAGGUGGCAAGCGUUGUCCGGAUUUAUUGGGCGUAAAGCGAGCGCAGGCGGUUUUUUAAGUCUGAUGUGAAAGCCUUCGGCUCAACCGAAGAAGUGCAUCGGAAACUGGGAAACUUGAGUGCAGAAGAGGACAGUGGAACUCCAUGUGUAGCGGUGAAAUGCGUAGAUAUAUGGAAGAACACCAGUGGCGAAGGCGGCUGUCUGGUCUGUAACUGACGCUGAGGCUCGAAAGUAUGGGUAGCAAACAGGAUUAGAUACCCUGGUUGUCCAUACCGUAAACGAUGAAUGCUAAGUGUUGGAGGGUUUCCGCCCUUCAGUGCUGCAGCUAACGCAUUAAGCAUUCCGCCUGGGGAGUACGGCCGCAAGGCUGAAACUCAAAGGAAUUGACGGGGGCCCGCACAAGCGGUGGAGCAUGUGGUUUAAUUCGAAGCUACGCGAAGAACCUUACCAGGUCUUGACAUACUAUGCAAAUCUAAGAGAUUAGACGUUCCCUUCGGGGACAUGGAUACAGGUGGUGCAUGGUUGUCGUCAGCUCGUGUCGUGAGAUGUUGGGUUAAGUCCCGCAACGAGCGCAACCCUUAUUAUCAGUGGCCAGCAUUAAGUUGGGCACUCUGGUGAGACUGCCGGUGACAAACCGGAGGAAGGUGGGGAUGACGUCAAAUCAUCAUGCCCCUUAUGACCUGGGCUACACACGUGCUACAAUGGAUGGUACAACGAGUUGCGAACUCGCGAGAGUAAGCUAAUCUCUUAAAGCCAUUCUCAGUUCGGAUUGUAGGCUGCAACUCGCCUACAUGAAGUCGGAAUCGCUAGUAAUCGCGGAUCAGCAUGCCGCGGUGAAUACGUUCCCGGGCCUUGUACACACCGCCCGUCACACCAUGAGAGUUUGUAACACCCAAAGUCGGUGGGGUAACCUUUUAGGAACCAGCCGCCUAAGGUGGGACAGAUGAUUAGGGUG